GAGCAAUGAUGGAAAGAUUUUACUACUGUCAUUUACAACUAUUAAUGUUUCUACACUUGAUCUGAGCUCA